rnacentral:lncRNA from 10 species
GGCCUUCAGACGGUGUGGAUUAUGAAAAGUCAAGCACUCUAACACUUGGCAGCAGAGGCUUCAUGGAAUACCUACUCCCCACCUCUGCCAAUAACAUUUUUAAGGAGAUUCGGUUUGAUUAAACUAUACAAGGUAAAUAAUGAAUCCAGCCUGCCCAGGAUAUAUCAGGUUGCAUAGUGUGAUGAAACACAUACCAUCCUGAAUGUUCUUCCAAAAGAACAUGUACAGAAAAUGCUGUCCUUCUGCCAGAAUACAGGCUCCUUGCCAACCCCCACCACUCUCCACCUUGAGACCAAACACUCAGCAAGCUGAAGCUUGCAGGCCACGGUGACUGGCUCCAUGCUGCCUUGGGAAGCCCUACAUGACCUCUACAUGGUCCUUCUUCAGUAUGUGAAGUACAGAGGCAACACCAGGACAUUUUGAAGGGCAAAAGAAGGUUCAAUGGGGCAAUUUCCAAGGCAUCUUGCUCCACUGCUGGACCUGAUACUGGGGAGCUGACCAUCUAGCAGGUGACGUAUGGAUGGAUGAAGCAUCUUAGGACAUCUAAAGAAAGAGAUCACUCCUCCAUACUGAUCCUAAAGUUGACCUCCAGAUAACAUUCUGUCACAUGCAUGUGCACCAGAGAUGGGGAGAACACACAGAAUGGCAACAAUGUGAAUGCAUUCUGCUCCCGAGGAGAAUAACACCGAGGAUGGCAAACAGGCAAGGGGGAAAGAUGGCAAGCGUCCUUGAUGACACCACUUAGCUGCCAACCCCACCAACCCACAGCUAGCCCAACUUCUGGACUUCGUGUUAUGAGAUAAUAAAUUUCCUAAGCAUCUGUGCUGGGAUGAGUCAGGUUCUCUUUCAUUUUCAUCAAAAGCAUCUUGGCUGAUACAAAAAGCCAGGAUCCAAACCCAGGUCUGUGUGAUUACCAAGAACCUACUCAUUCCAAGAGUUUUCUAGUCUGUCUCUGGUAUGCAUAAAGUCCCGAAGGGUUUCCAAGUCAACAGCUGCAGUGGUCCUGGAGUCAGACAGACUUGGACUAAAUCCCAGAUCUGCCACUAAUUAGCUGGGUGAUUGUGGGCAAAUUACCUCUCCUUUUUAUGCCUGUUACCUCAUCUGAAAAAUGGGGAUAAUCAUUGCACCUGCCACAAAGAGCUGUUUGAAGACCAAAGGAAAUUUCCACACAGUCGGUGCUCAGUGAUCAUUAGUUUUCAUGAGCAGGGGAACUGAAUGAUUUUUGGUGGCUAGAUUCUUUUGAUCAGAAUCUUUGUAAUGUUUUGAAUAGAGUAACAUUUACUUUCUCCUGACAUAUCACAUCUAUGCCAAAAUAAAAAUACAAUGUGGCCAGGCGCGGUGGCUCACACCUGUAAUCCCAGCACUUUGGGAGGCCGAGGUGGGUGGAUCACCUGAGGUCAGGAGUUCGAGACCAGCCUGGCCAACAUGGUGAAACCCCGUCUCCAUUAAAAAUACAAAAAUUUGUUGGGCAUGGUGGCAAUCUGUAAUCCCAGCUACUCAGGAGGCUGAGGCAGGAGAAUCGCUUGAACCUGGGAGGCGGAGGUUGCAGUGAGCCGAGAUUGUGCUAUUGCACUCCAGCUGGGCAACAGAGCGAGGCUCCAUCUCAAAAAAAAAAAAAAUGUUUUCUUAAUGUUUGGCCUUGUCUGAGCUUUUGGCUUUUUAAUUAGAAAAUGCCUCAUUCCUUAUUGAAAGAACACAUCAUUCAAAAAAAUAUUUGAAAUGUCACCCAUAGUAUCAUGCUACCUAAUUAAACAAUUUUUGUUUUUUGAUAUUACCUCUGGCAUGUAAAAUGCACAUACCUACAAUUAUAGUGAACAUACUGUUUUGCUUCCUAUUAUUUUCACUUAAAUUAUAGCAUAUAUUGACAUGUUCUUUAUAAUUAUUUGCCUUAAUAGCUUUAUAAGAUUGAUAUAAUUUACUAUAUAUUCCCCCAGGAUUAAUAUUUUUGACAUAAAUUGCUUUCUUAUUUUUUGUCUUAGAGAUGACGCAGCAGUGAUCAUUUUGGCUUAUAUAUUUUGUUUUCUGUGCAUUAUUUCCUAAAGAGAAAAUUCCUAGGCAUGGAAUUCUGGGUCUAGGGCUAUGAAUUGUCUUAGUGCCUCCUGCUACAUAAUUCUCUCCAAAAGGAAUGUUCCAGUUUGUCAUGUGAACUUAAUCUUAACUACUCAAGACUGAAAUUGAGUUCCUCUAAGCAGUUACUUGGUUUGAAAUAUCACAUGAGCCUUUAUACUUUGGGGAAAUCAGUAUUUUGAUUGCCUUGCCAUGGGUUUCAAGCUUUAUAAGUGAAAUUCUGCUUUCUUCACUUGAGGGACUAAAAGUUCCCUCUUGAACCAAUCAGUCUUAUUUUUCAAAGGCUGUGAACUUUUAAAAGUCUGUCUGGUUUUAUCUCCCUAUUUUUCUUCAUGACUCUGACUUAAUUAUCAUAGACCCCCAAGGAUGCCUAAAUGCCUCAAGGACACCAUUUUAAAUGGAUGAUCAAACCCAACUUCCUACUUCUCUGUGAGAGGCACAUUUCUAAUCUGGGAGUGAGUAGUACAAUCACUCUGUCCAGACGGAGUAACACCGGUUUCCUAUAGCAAAAGCCUAGGUCCUUGGAAAACCACUGACUGCUUCAUGAAUUCCUUGGACAUUAAUUGGUGAAGUAACUAAGAAAAAUGCACCCCACACAAAGUUUAUUGUGGACCCCUCCUCAUUCUCCCAUGCAGCAAAAACAACUAAGCUUCUUUUCCCUUUGAGCAGGACAGUGGGUUUGGCUGUGCCAGGAUGAGUCUCCCGGGGGUAGAGAAAGCCUGAGUAUUUUUCUCUGGUGCUAAAUUUACCUGACUCCAGGGCAGAUGCCUCCAAGUCAUAGGCAAGGGGGUUAACACACUUGGAUGCUCCUAAAGGGACUUUGUCCAGCCUGCUGUGAGGUCUUUCCACCUUCUCAUGUUUCUAACAUGACCAUAAAAUCAAAUCUAAAUGCAAACAUUAAAAUGCAAGGCACUAUGACUAGGUCUAGGGUAGUCAUUCAAGUGAUGUGGAGCAGGCUUAUGUUUUUUUCUCCCUCCAGAUUAUCAUAGACAUGGGAACACAACAUUUAAACGCCCUGGUAGAAUUUCAAAAGUAUGUCUAGAGAUCCUAAUGGAGUCACAAACCCCAGAUUAUGACACACAUCAAGUUCAAGGGUCUAGAAACUUUUUCUGGAAAAGGUCAGAUAGUAAAUAAUUUAGACUUUGGGGGCCAUAUGGUCUUUGUUCUAACCAAUUCUACCAGCAUGCAAGCAGCCAUAGGCAUUUGGUAAGCAAAUGGGGCACAGAAUUUUUUAUUUCUUGUAGAGACAGGGUCUUGCUAUGUUGCCCAGCCAUGUUCCAAUAAAACUUUAUUAACAAACACAAGCACUGGAUUUGGCCUGAAGGCCAUAGUUUGCCAAUCCCUACUCUACUUACUGUGUGAAUAAUAAGAUGGGAAGACCUCCUGACUAUCAGCUCUGUAUUCUUCCAAUUUUCAGUUUGUGUUUGGUUCACAUCUUCAAUGUAUGUCUUUAUCAUGGGAUUUAGAAAGUGGAUGUUCAUUCAACCAGGCAUAUAAGAUUUUUCGUUGCCUACAGUUCUGCUCUUAAUUAGCCCUAUCUCCAUUAAGUAUGACUCAAGACUACAUUUCUUGAUAACGUAGAUGAAAUUGGUUAAGAAAAUUAAAAACUGGAAAGAGACAGGCAAUACAAAUCAGUUUUCAAGAAUUUGUGAUGAGCAAUUGAAUCCAGCCUUUUCUUUGAGAUGUGAGCAGACUCUGUUUUGAAUGGCUUCUCUGCGGAUAAGUAGACUUGAAAGCAGGGAAGCUGUCUGAUGCAGCAGAGAGGUUGUGAUGUUGAGGUAAUUAUUGAUGCCACCAAUAUCUGCCUGUGUGACCUUUCCUUGCACAAGUUAUUUAAUUUCCCUGGGAUUUGGUUUCCCCUUAUAUAAAGUAAGGGAUUUGGAUUAGAUGAAUUGGAUUAGAUGAGUCCUAAAUCUGCUCAAGCUUUGAACAUUUAAAAUUUUGUAUCAAGCAAUCUAUGCUGAGAGCUUUACAACAUAUCAGAAAGCAAGCGAUUUAGAGAGAGUUCUGCCUCUUGUGAAGCUCAAAUGCACAUCCUACGAAGGCUUCUCACUUUGGUUUUCCCUAAAACCAGGACAUUUUAGUCAUCUUAGGAAUCUCAAUUAUUAUGAAAAGUUUCCCAACUUAACAGGGACAGAUUUUCAUAAACAUAGAAGGGUGGGGGUGUCAGAAAACUUUACUAACAGAAGGUACUUCAAAUGGAGAAAUAUAGUGGGUGUUUUAGUCAAGGUUAUCCAGGAAAACAGAACCAAUAGAAUAUAUAGAGAGAGACAUAUAUAAGAAGAGAUGUAGAAAUUGGUUCAUGCAAUUAUGGAGACCAAGAAGCUCCGUGAUCUACCACUGCAAGCUGAAGACCAGGAAAGCUGGUGGCAUAACUCAGUCAGAAGGCCUGAGAGUAGGGGGCGAGGAGGUGAGAAAGAGGAUGGUAAUAGUGUAAGUCCCUGUCUGAGUCCAAAAGACGGAUGUCUCAGCUCAAGCAGAGAGAGCAAAUUGGCCCCUUCUUCACCUUUUUGUUCUAUUCAGGCCCUCAAAUAAUUGGAAAAUGCCCAGGCAUGGUGGAGGGCCAUCUGCUUUAUUUUGUUCACCAAGUCAAAUGCUAAUUUCUUCCCAAAAUACCCUCACCGACUCACCAGGAAUAAUGUUUUACCAGCUAUCUGGGCAUCCCUUAGCCCAGUCAAGUUAACACACAAAAUUAACCAUCAUGGUGGAAGGAUGGAGGCAUCACCCUACAGCCAUAGUUCUGAAUCCUGUUUUGGUUUGUACCAGUCUCCAAUGGUUCAUUAACAGUAAAUACUAUGGCAAAUAUGCAAUGAAGAUUUUUUCAUUAAAUAUUUAAAUUUUAGCAUGGCAUUUGAUUUAUACUUUUCAAUUGAUUGGUCCUUCACAACCAUGGAUUCAUAGUUUAAAAUGAGGUCAUGUCAAAAUGGAAGAAUAGUGACUAUGGUAAACACAAUGACUCAGACUAAUCCAAGGAUUCAUAUUGACAAGUGGGCUAUAAAAAUGUAGAUACAUCAGCCUACCAUUUAGCCCAAUAUUAGCAAUUUAGUUUCAGCAAAACAUCACCUAACACAUGAAAUCAGUGUUGUUAACUUGAAUGUUAUUGUUGGUGUUGUCUUGUUUGUAUUUAAUUAGUGCAUUUUUAAUGGUUCUAUAAUAAACAUAACCAUAAGAAAUGUAUGGCUACUUUCA